rnacentral:rRNA from 1 species
AUGGAGAAUGCAUUGCUGAAGCUUUGGUCAAUGGUUGAAGAGAGCAAGUCUGCUAGGGUGAAUGAUAAUCUUCAAAGUGCUCUAACUAUUCAUCAGUUGACAGAAGAAAAGAACAAGCUGGAUGCAGACUAUGACAAGUUAGUGAAAGAUGUGCAUCAACUUGUGGACUUUCAGCAGGAUAGGGUUGUGGAUUUCAGUUAUCUGCAGUCUGCUGUCACAUAUCAGCACCAAUGCAGAGCUGAAUUGGUGGCUGGUAUGAAUGCAGAAAUGGCAAAGAAAGAUGCAGCUGCACAGAAGCUUCAACAAAAGUAUGAACUCCUGUGCAACCUGACAAGUGCUCAAGCAACUGUCAUCCAAAACUUGAAGUUGAAGAAUAUGAAAGAGAAGGAAUUGUUGAGUGAGGGUAGGAUGAAUUUGGAGUUGAAGAAUGCAGAGUUCACAAAGUUUGAGGAGAAGCUCACCCAAGAGAAGCUAGAGUUGAAGCUCCAGGUUGCUGAUCUGCUGAAGCUCAAGGAAAACCAUAAUGAAGAGAAGAAGAUGCAAGAGUUUAAGAUUACUGAGCUCAUCAAGGCAGAGGAGAAGCUGAAGGAGAAGAUCAAGGGGAUCCAGGCCAUCUUGCAGAACUGA